UCUUAUUAUUUUUCUGAAAUGGGUUAUUGGGUCCGUUCAUCAUUUUUACAUCAUAAUUUGUAUGUGCCUGAGAUGUAAACAUUGCAGAUGUUAAUGACAUGACUCCAGUGAUGUGAUGGCGUCCAUCAAUAGCAUUAACUGACUAGUACACUGGGCAGUCCAAGCCAAGUAUCUUAUUAUUCUGAAUAGUUGGUCUUAAUUUCAGUCUAUAGAAUUUCAGUUGCAGCACAAACAGAAUACAUUAUUUUGAGUUGAAAUGGGUAUGUUUUCCUCAGCCAUCUCAUUGUCAGUGGCUUUACUGUGUUUAAGCGAUUGUGGUGUUUUUGCAUUUUACCCAAACUUUAAUUAUAUAAUGAAAGGAAAGGUUGUGAAUGUAUUCUAUUUGAACAGAAACGAUAAUCCUCGGAUUCUCCCACAAACAAAGUGUUUUAUAGCAAUGCUAUGGGAUGUUCAGGAGACGUGGAAUCAAGAUCCAAGAGUAUAUAAUUAUUUAUAUCAUGAAAGUUUCACUCUAGAUCCUUGUAAAUUUGCAGAAAACGCAAUGCUCACCAAUAAAAACAUCAACAUGUAUGUGCAAAAGAGUAAAUAUUUUAAUGAUAAGAACCAGAAUAAUUAUGUAGUUGGUGUAGAGGGGAACGCACAAUAUGGUAGGUUUCCAGGAAAUUAGUAAUGGAUCGAGUUACCAAAAGAAAGAAACUUGGUUGGAAUGGUGAAACAUCUUUUAGAGCUGUGAGCUGUGUUAGCCUUGAACAGUUUUGAUCGAAUAGUAACAUAAUGUUGGACUUGCAUGCAUAUCAAGUACUUUCUCCACUUUCAUCACUCUGAUAUUCUGAACUGCUAUACAAUCAAUCAGAAGACAUGAGUUUUGUUCAUACAGUGUAAAGAUGUUUCACCAUUAGCUUUACUGGGCUUUUUUGUCGAGGGAGGAGGGGGGGAGUGGAUAUGGUGGCCAGGCUAUGAGUACAAAAGUUUGAACCAGUUGGUAAAUAAUUGUGUGACAAUCUAUGCUUAAGCUUGUUUCGUAUGUUUACAAUUUUAGUAUGUAAGGGCAAGAAACAAAUAAUUAUGUAUUGUUGAAGAA